ensembl:ncRNA asRNA:CR45479 antisense RNA:CR45479
UCACAAUCCAGGAACACCUAAUAGACGCGCGGCUUGAGGCCACAAUUGAUUCCGGUGGUCGAGCGCAGGAUAACGUUCAGUACGGGCUGGACUUCUUCGCCCAGAGGCAGCAACUCAAAGUGUCUCACCAUUUUGCUGAUGGUGCUCUUCAUCUCGAGCAUUGCGAACUUUUGGCCGAUGCAGUUUCUCGGACCCGCUGAGAAGGGAGUAUAGGCGAAUGGACUGAUCUCGCCCUUGCGCUCCAUGCUGAAACGAUCAGGGAUGAACUUCUCCGGAUCAGGGAAGUAGUCUGGAUCGCGCUGAGCAUGGUAAAUAAGAAUGAUCACAUUCGAGUCGGCGGGUAUCAAUUUGCCGUCGAGUACGGUGUCCUGGGAAAUGUAGCGUCCAAUGAUCGGCACCGAGGGAAACAGGCGCAGAGACUCCUUUAUCACGCACUCUAAGUACUUGAGCUCGCCGAGUAGCUUCAUAGUAACUGGAGCCGACUUGUCAUCACCGAUAACAUCUCUGACCUCCUGGAAGACGCGAGCCUGAACCUCAGGAUGUCGAGCCAGCAAAUAACAGGUAAAAGCAAUGCUACUGGUCGUAGUGUCAUGACCCUCGAACAUGAAGGUGUCUACCUCCUCGCGGAUGUCGUCGUUGCUCAACGGAGCCCCAUCGAUGGUGGACUUCAGCAGCACAUCAAGAAGAGCCAUACGACGCUUCUGGCCCACAUCGUUCAAGAGGGCAGCGUCGGCAUCUCCUCCAUCGGCAAUGGCUUUUUGUAGGAGCUCGCGUCGCUCAGUGAUUACCGAGUUGGUAAAGUCGUGCAUGUUCUUCACGGCAUCAUUCAGCUUGUCUAGCAAUUUGGGAUAGAAGAGCUUCAUGGUGAAAUCCAAGCGCUGCAAGGGAUUCAUGAAGCGUUCGGCUAACAUUGCAGAGGCACUAAAAAGAUGUGCUCAUAUGGAAUAAAGUCCGCCGAUAGUUAAUAUAGGUUAUAAUACUUACGUUGUGACCGACUGAACGUAGGUAAAUUGCGGCUGGAGCUGAGCAUUAAUUUUUACACCCAUGGCCGUUUCCGCAAUGAUAUCCAUGGCACACAAGCAAGCCACCGGGAACAUGUUUAUCACCGUCUUGCCGUCUGCCCGAUCGUAAAGCUUCUGGACCAUAGUUGCGCUCUGUUGGUCAAAGACCUCCACAAAGUCCUCGAGGAUCUUAAAGUGGAAUGCGGGUGUAAUGAUCUUCCUGCGGCGGAACCACUUCUUUCCUUGGCUAAUGAGCAGUCCAUCGCCGAGCCAAUUUACCAGCAGACUAUAAAGAUUGUUUUUUUGAAUGGUCUGUUGGCUGCUCAUGAUCGCCUCGAUCAUUUUGGAAUCAGCGGUCAUGAAGCCACUUUCGCCCAACAUCUGCGUUUUUAUGUUUUUACCAAACUCAGCAAUCAGUCGGAACUGCAUAUCAAAGAUAGCUGCAAGAGAAGAGGGUUGAUAUUUGUUUAGCCAUCUUGUGAUUUUAAAAACAACGAUUUUAAGAUCAAACUGUUUCCAAAACUGAACUGUGAAAGAACGCAGUCUUGGGAAUAUGUUCUGUUGUAACUGUGUGAUUAGCGUACAUGACUUACUCUUGGGUGACUCGUUAAUCAACAAGGGAGCGUUUCCAACCAGAGGAUAGCUCUUGGGUCCUCGUAUCCCAGCCUCGGCGUACAUCUUGUUGUGCCGCCUCUUUCGCAUAUAAUCCCACGCCAAAGCGGUCGCCAGGAGAAUCGCAAAGAGCUCUAGAUACAUGUUUUUUGGGUUUCGGUUUUCCGGGUUGGUAAUGGGAUGGAUCUAUUAACACUGGCACCGUUGGCCAUCGACUGCUUGUUUUUCCUCGUCGGUGGGGCUGUUUUGUAGCCGGCGUGGUUUGCGAUAAGGCGUCCACAAUCAGUGGAAUGAAGCCGAAAACCAAUGCGAAGGCCAAAAACUAUGACCGAGGUCAAAACCAGGCGGUGUGUCGUCCGUGGGCUCUCCUUGCCUCCAACUGCCAUGUCAGUUAGAUUUCUAAGCAGGUUAUGUGAUCUGCAUGAGGAUCUUGGAGAUCCGUUGGCGCACAUUCUGCGAUGAACGAAAACGGAAAAAGUGCCUCUUCAUCGUGACCCAAGGCUUUGGGCCGAUCGGAAGUUCAGAUUGAUAAGGCCCACACAGGUGGGCGGUUGCGGGAUUUAGGCGGGGCCUGGGAAAGUUCGCAUGGCGCUAUCUGUAUAUUGAUACAUGAACCACUCUGGUUCUGCUGAUUAGAUCGAACGCUUUUGUUGGACUUUUGGAACUAAAAAAGGAAAUAUUUAAAUAGAUAAUAAGCCCACAAAUUUAAUAGACUCUGGAAAUUAUGCUGAGAUAAUUGUUUAUUAUUAUUGAUUUCAAAUUG